UGAAAGGCCCAAGCCCAACCGCCCAAAUACUAAGAAUCUUUAACCUAAUUUUUCAUUUGAUUCAUUUCCUCAACAGCCAUUAUUUUCAUUCUCUCUCCAUUCUUCUAUCUGAAAGUCAGUCACUCAGUCAUCCAUCUUCUUUCUCACUACUUCGUCUCAAUAACCAUUGUUCAAUUCAUCUUCUUCCCCAAGGUUAUUGAGCCAUUUUGGAUGAUGAAAAGAUGAACUGAGUAAAAGAGCCAAUGUCAAAUGCGAAUGAACAUAUGCUGAGUUCCUUCAAAGGAACUAGAAGACUGAUGCUGACGCAAAGGAACUUAUUGGUAGCCCGAGAUUUGUCCAGAUUCAUUACAGCGUGAUAUUUGGUUACUUGGAGGAUAAUUCUUGAAUAUUUACAUCUAGAAGGAAGAUAUAUUUUAUAACAAGAAGAUCUUAUCAUUUAGGAAAAGAUUUGGCAAAAGAUAGAAUUUCACAUAUUCUAUCUAACUACUUUCCUUAUCUUGGAUUUAUCUUCCAUAUUUUUAGGGAUUUUACUUGGGGAAUGGUUCUAUCGUAAUUCUAUCCAAACCCCAGAGUUAGUCGUCUAUUAAUCAUCCAUUCUUUAGUCAUAUCUCCCUUGUGUUCACGUAGAAGAAACCACCUAGAGGAACUCGACAUGUUUUUCUCCAAAAACCUUUCUUCUUUGCUCUGUAACAUGAGUGAGUAGUUCUUUAUGCUCAAUAAUAGUUAGAGGAGGCCAUGUAAUCAGUAAUUGAGACAAGUUAUUUUGGUUUUAAUGAUUAAUAAUUAAUGUUUUGGAAUAUUUUUGAAUUA